GCCGGGCGCGGUAGCGUGCGCCUGUAGUCCCAGCUACUCGGGAGGCUGAGGUGGGAGGAUCGCUUGAGUCCAGGAGUUCUGGGCUGUAGUGCGCUAGGCCGAUCGAGUGUCUGCACUAAGUUCGGCAUCAAUAUGGUGACCUCCCGGGAGCGGGGAGCCACCAGGUUGCCUAAGGAGGGGUGAACCGGCCCAGGUGGGAAACCGAGCAGGUCAAAUUAUGAAUUAUAAAUAUAUAAGAGAUUAACCCACUUAGGAAUCAGACAGGGCUUAGGGAAUCAA
rnacentral:SRP_RNA from 1 species